rnacentral:rRNA from 1 species
UACGUAGGGUGCAAGCGUUGUCCGGAAUUAUUGGGCGUAAAGAGCUCGUAGGCGGUCUGUCGCGUCGGCUGUGAAAACUCGGGGCCCAACCCCGAGCCUGCAGUCGAUACGGGCAGACUAGAGUUCGGUAGGGGAGACUGGAAUUCCUGGUGUAGCGGUGAAAUGCGCAGAUAUCAGGAGGAACACCGGUGGCGAAGGCGGGUCUCUGGGCCGAUACUGACGCUGAGGAGCGAAAGCGUGGGGAGCGAACAGG